CACGUAGGGUGCGAGCGUUGUCCGGAAUUAUUGGGCGUAAAGAGCUCGUAGGCGGUGUGUCGCGUCGGCCGUGAAAACCUGCAGCUUAACUGUGGGCCUGCGGUCGAUACGGGCAUCACUGGAGUUCGGCAGGGGAGACUGGAAUCCUGGUGUAGCGGUGAAAUGCGCAGAUAUCAGGAGGAACACCGGUGGCGAAGGCGGGUCUCUGGGCCGAUACUGACGCUGAGGAGCGAAAGCGUGGGGAGCGAACAGG
rnacentral:rRNA from 1 species